UACAGAGGGUGCGAGCGUUAAUCGGAAUUACUGGGCGUAAAGGGUGCGUAGGUGGUUAAAUAAGUUGGGCGUGAAAUCCCCGGGCUCAACCUGGGAACUGCGUUCAAAACUAUUUGGCUAGAGUAUGGUAGAGGUAAGUGGAAUUUCCAGUGUAGCGGUGAAAUGCGUAGAUAUUGGAAGGAACAUCAGUGGCGAAGGCGACUUACUGGACUGAUACUGACACUGAGGCACGAAAGCGUGGGGAGCAAACAGG
rnacentral:rRNA from 1 species